CCGGGCUCCUCGCGGUGGCGCCGGGGGGAUGCCCUCCUCUCCGGGUUCCCCGCCGCUCGCGAUCGGGGGGGUCACGGCUCGGUGCGCGGCGCCCCGGCUGUGCGCUGCGGCAUCAGGGGCACUGGGGAAACGCCCGCGGAGCGGCGUCUGCUCUGCCCGUGUAAAUGAAUGCGGUACGCAAUGUGAAAUGCUGUUCGCCUUGUCGGUCUGCUGCUAUGGCAAGGUACCGGCGGUAUGUGCCGCCGAGGUGGUGGUGGGGUAAGGGGCUGGAAGUAAGCAACGCUUUGCGGCUUCUCACAGAAAAGACGUGGAAGUGCUGGAGCGCGUCCACAGAAGGGCGGCAAAACGGAAGGGUCUGGAGCACAAGUCUUACGGCAGCGGCUGAGGGAGCUGUGAUCGUUCAGUGUGGAGAAGGGGGAGGUUCAGGGGAGACCUCGUUGCUCUCUGCAACUGCCCGAAGGCAGGUUGUGAUGGGCUGGGGACGGCCUCUUCUCCCAGGUAACGGCGAUGGGAUGAGAGGUGAGGGCUGCGUGCUGAGAGCAGUGCUUGGCUGGGAACUGGGCAGCGAACGCUGACAGGAGGCGGUAGGGAUGCAGCCGGGGCUGAGGGACCAUGAGAAAGAGGGGGCUUCGUGCCAGAGGGGAUAGAUAGGCUUCGUGUGCCCAGAUCCCUGAGGCCCUGCCAUCCUGGUGAACAUGUCCUGGAGCAGCAUUUCAGGCUGCUGGGUUGAAAGUGGGAGGAGCAGCCCCCAGAAAGGAGAGACCAAACUGUUCUUUGGCUCCUGCCCCCCGUGGGAGCUCUGUUCCCCACACAUCCCUGGCAUCCAUGGAAGUAAAGCUGCUCGUUUUGCUGCAACCCCUCCCGUGUGUGUCUGACUGCUCUUUCCUUCCCCACUCCUUUCCUGCUCUGCAGGCUAAGACUGUCUACAACCACCUCUCCCAAAAAUAAUCCCUGCUUAAGAGGCUGGAAAACAUGACAGUUUAUCUUCAUAUGCAGAGCAGAACUUAUUUGUAAUUAGCUUUAAGGCUGUCGUUUAUUUUACCAGCCUGAUUUCCACACCAGGCGGAUCGUGCGUGGCUAGCAGCGCUGCAUUCCUGCCCAUCCUACACAACCCAUCAUCACAUGGAUGCAUUCAGCACAGAGUUGCUCAUGGCCCCAUCUUCUCUCCAGAGUGUUUUGUCUGCCCCCGAGUCCAUGCAGCCACCAUCCUGCCUCGCCUGCAGGUCACUGCGUGGAAAGCUCCAGAGAGUGUUGGCAAUGCUGUUGUUGACGUGGCUGCCAUGGGGGUGGGGAGACUCAGACACCCCUAAUAAAGCCUGAGGCAAGUGAGAGGCACUUCUUUUUGGCAAAUGAGCAGUUUUCGGUUUAAAAAUGCUUUUCUCUUGGCAGCCAGUGGAAGCAUCUGAGCUACGGCUGUCAGAUCAAAUGUGUGCUUUCCCUUUGACCUCCCAAGGAGCAUAGGGAUGUGGUUUUAUGCCAUCUAGGAGCAAUCUGAUGUGUUUGCUUUUCAUUCUGAAGGUGUUUAGGAGUUUGACAUUUAGCCCUUGUGGGUUAUUUAUUUAUGCCUUUUACGCUAUAUCUUAUGUUUCCUAGAAAACCACUUGCCCAGCCUGCAUGUCGUAUAUUUUUGAUGUGGAAAGAUGUGGGAUUGGGGUGAUAAAUGAGGAAAGAGAAUUGGCAACAAGACUGGAAAAUCACUGGCCAACUAGGAUAAAUUCCAGAGGCAAACAGAUGGUGGUGUGAACAGAGCAUUUUGUUUGACAUACUAAUGUGGUAUGAAUCUCAGCAGGGACUUUCCUCCUCCUCAGAAAGAAUAUCCUGAGUUGGAAAGAACCCAGAGGAGUCAUCGAGUCCAACUCCCAGCUCUUCACAGGCCCACCCCAAAUCACAGAAUCACAGAAUUGUAGGGGUUGGAAGGGACCUCCAGAGAUCAUCGAGUCCAACCCCCCUGCCAAAGCAGGUUCCCUACAGCAGGUCGCACAGGUAGGCAUCCAGGCAGGUCUUGAACAUCUCCAGAGAAGGAGACUCCACCACCUCCCUGGGCAGCCUGUUCCAGUGCUCCGUCACCUCACUGUAAAGAAGUUCUUGUGCAUGUUUGUGCAGAACUUCCUAU